CUACAGGAUCUACUAAGAUCCAAGUUUAUUAAGGGAAAAUUUAUUU
rfam:Papio anubis isolate 1X1155 chromosome 6, whole genome shotgun sequence.